rnacentral:lncRNA from 1 species
UGAUUUGUAUACAACAAAUGCCAAAGCACAGUGCUAAAUGAAUGUUUUGACAGAAUGACUAUGCCAUCUGUAUGUGUUUAUAUUGUGAUUGUGUUGCUCCUUGAACAACCCAAACCAGCAGUAUGUAAAACAAAUUUAGCAUGUACUGAUAAAAUGGAUUCGAUGAUGUUUCAGGUUAUCUGGGCAGGACUGAAAAGUUUGAAACAAGAGCCCAAUAAUCAUGAUAACGGAG